rnacentral:misc_RNA from 1 species
AAGUCGUAACAAGGUUUCCGUAGGUGAACCUGCGGAAGGAUCAUUACAAUAUAUGUGAAGUAUCCACAACCUACCGUCUUUUCGUGAACUCUUGAUGCGUUGCCGUUUGCGUCGUUCGAGGUGGUGCCGCCCUGGCGUGUUAUUAGGGAGCCCGAUGAGUGUCGGGAGGCUCCCGAGUCCGGACGGUGCGCACUCUCCCUCCUCCUCUUGGAGGAGGGGGAGGCCUCUGAUUGCAAACGCGUGUUACCCCUCCCCACUCUUCAACCCACAAUUAUCACCUUGUACCUUUUUCUACUAGAACUGAUCUCUCUGGAAGGCGCCCUCUCACCGGAGGGCCCUUCCUGCAAGACUAUACGUAAAGAGAAAGAACAACUCUUAACAACGGAUAUCUUGGCUCUC